rnacentral:rRNA from 1 species
GAUGAACGCUGGCGGCGUGCCUAAUACAUGCAAGUCGAGCGAACGGACGAGAAGCUUGCUUCUCUGAUGUUAGCGGCGGACGGGUGAGUAACACGUGGAUAACCUACCUAUAAGACUGGGAUAACUUCGGGAAACCGGAGCUAAUACCGGAUAAUAUUUUGAACCGCAUGGUUCAAAAGUGAAAGACGGUCUUGCUGUCACUUAUAGAUGGAUCCGCGCUGCAUUAGCUAGUUGGUAAGGUAACGGCUUACCAAGGCAACGAUGCAUAGCCGACCUGAGAGGGUGAUCGGCCACACUGGAACUGAGACACGGUCCAGACUCCUACGGGAGGCAGCAGUAGGGAAUCUUCCGCAAUGGGCGAAGGCCUGACGGAGCAACGCCGCGUGAGUGAUGAAGGUCUUCGGAUCGUAAAACUCUGUUAUUAGGGAAGAACAUAUGUGUAAGUAACUGUGCACAUCUUGACGGUACCUAAUCAGAAAGCCACGGCUAACUACGUGCCAGCAGCCGCGGUAAUACGUAGGUGGCAAGCGUUAUCCGGAAUUAUUGGGCGUAAAGCGCGCGUAGGCGGUUUUUUAAGUCUGAUGUGAAAGCCCACGGCUCAACCGUGGAGGGUCAUUGGAAACUGGAAAACUUGAGUGCAGAAGAGGAAAGUGGAAUUCCAUGUGUAGCGGUGAAAUGCGCAGAGAUAUGGAGGAACACCAGUGGCGAAGGCGACUUUCUGGUCUGUAACUGACGCUGGUGUGCGAAAGCGUGGGGAUCAAACAGGAUUAGAUACCCUGGUAGUCCACGCCGUAAACGAUGAGUGCUAAGUGUUAGGGGGUUUCCGCCCCUUAGUGCUGCAGCUAACGCAUUAAGCACUCCGCCUGGGGAGUACGACCGCAAGGUUGAAACUCAAAGGAAUUGACGGGGACCCGCACAAGCGGUGGAGCAUGUGGUUUAAUUCGAAGCAACGCGAAGAACCUUACCAAAUCUUGACAUCCUUUGACAACUCUAGAGAUAGAGCUUUCCCCUUCGGGGGACAAAGUGACAGGUGGUGCAUGGUUGUCGUCAGCUCGUGUCGUGAGAUGUUGGGUUAAGUCCCGCAACGAGCGCAACCCUUAAGCUUAGUUGCCAUCAUUAAGUUGGGCACUCUAAGUUGACUGCCGGUGACAAACCGGAGGAAGGUGGGGAUGACGUCAAAUCAUCAUGCCCCUUAUGAUUUGGGCUACACACGUGCUACAAUGGACAAUACAAAGGGCAGCGAAACCGUGAGGUCAAGCAAAUCCCAUAAAGUUGUUCUCAGUUCGGAUUGUAGUCUGCAACUCGACUACAUGAAGCUGGAAUCGCUAGUAAUCGUAGAUCAGCAUGCUACGGUGAAUACGUUCCCGGGUCU